rnacentral:rRNA from 1 species
GACGAACGCUGGCGGCGUGCUUAACACAUGCAAGUCGAACGGUGAAAGCGGAGCUUGCUCCGCUGGAUCAGUGGCGAACGGGUGAGUAACACGUGGGCAACCUGCCCCUCACUUCGGGAUAACUCCGGGAAACCGGGGCUAAUACCGAAUACGACCUCCUUGGCACCUUUGGAGGUGGAAAGUUUUUCGGUGAGGGAUGGGCCCGCGGCCUAUCAGCUUGUUGGUGAGGUAGUGGCUCACCAAGGCGACGACGGGUAGCCGGCCUGAGAGGGCGACCGGCCACACUGGGACUGAGACACGGCCCAGACUCCUACGGGAGGCAGCAGUGGGGAAUAUUGCGCAAUGGGCGAAAGCCUGACGCAGCAACGCCGCGUGCGGGAUGACGGCCUUCGGGUCUGUACACCGCUUUCAGCAGGGAAGAAGCCGCCAAGGUGACGGUACCU